GUGGGGAAUUUUGGACAAUGGGCGCAAGCCUGAUCCAGCCAUUCCGCGUGCAGGAUGAAGGCCUUCGGGUUGUAAACUGCUUUUGUACGGAACGAAAAGCCUCUGGUUAAUACCCGGGGGUCAUGACGGUACCGUAAGAAUAAGCACCGGCUAACUACGUGCCAGCAGCCGCGGUAAUACGUAGGGUGCGAGCGUUAAUCGGAAUUACUGGGCGUAAAGCGUGCGCAGGCGGUGAUGUAAGACAGUUGUGAAAUCCCCGGGCUCAACCUGGGAACUGAAUCUGUGACUGCAUUGCUGGAGUGCGGCAGAGGGGGAUGGAAUUCCGCGUGUAGCAGUGAAAUGCGUAGAUAUUGGGAGGAACACCAGUGGCGAAGGCGGCCUGCUGGACAUUAACUGACGCUGAGGCGCGAAAGCGUGGGGAGCAAACAGGAUUAGAAACCCGGGUAGUCC
rnacentral:rRNA from 1 species